UGCUGUCAGGACAGGCAGCAAUGUUGCCUGGCUGUAAGGCUUCUUGGAACACCCUGGAGUGCGACUCAUCUCGUGUGCCUCUUCGGGGAUCCACCCCUCUUUCUCUGAGUUCCGCUUUCUCCGGCGCCUAGAGAAAUCCUGAGAGACUCUCCAUUCUUCUCAGUACAAAAAUACCCUGGUGAAACUGUCUGCAUUCCUAGUGCUAACAUAAG